rnacentral:rRNA from 1 species
UUGGAAGUAAAAAUCGUAACAAGGUCUCCGUAGGUGAACCUGCGGAGGGAUCAUUACACAAAUAUGAAGGCGGGCUGGAACCUCUCGGGGUUACAGCCUUGCUGAAUUAUUCACCCUUGUCUUUUGCGUACUUCUUGUUUCCUUGGUGGGUUCGCCCACCACUAGGACAAACAUAAACCUUUUGUAAUUGCAAUCAGCGUCAGUAACAAAUUAAUAAUUACAACUUUCAACAACGGAUCUCUUGGUUCUGGCAUCGAUGAAGAACGCAGCGAAAUGCGAUAAGUAGUGUGAAUUGCAGAAUUCAGUGAAUCAUCGAAUCUUUGAACGCACAUUGCGCCCUUUGGUAUUCCAAAGGGCAUGCCUGUUCGAGCGUCAUUUGUACCCUCAAGCUUUGCUUGGUGUUGGGCGUCUUGUCUCUAGCUUUGCUGGAGACUCGCCUUAAAGUAAUUGGCAGCCGGCCUACUGGUUUCGGAGCGCAGCACAAGUCGCACUCUCUAUCAGCAAAGGUCUAGCAUCCAUUAAGCCUUUUUUUCAACUUUGACCUCGAUCAGUAGAUGCCCGUCC